rnacentral:rRNA from 1 species
CCCUUAGAUGUUCUGGGCCGCACGCGCGCUACACUGAUGCAUUCAACAAGCCUAGCCUUGACCGAGAGGUCCGGGUAAUCUUUGAAACUGCAUCGUGAUGGGCUAGAUUAUUGCAAUUAUUAAUCUUCAACGAGGAAUGCCUAGUAAGCGUGAUUCAUCAAAUCGCGUUGAUUACGUCCCUGCCCUUUGUACACACCGCCCGUCGCUCCUACCGAUUGAAUGUGUUGGUGAGGAGCUCGGAUUGGCAGCAGUUGGUGGUUCGCCACCGGCUAUUGCUGAGAAGUCCUCCAAACCGCCCCAUUUAGAGGAAGGAGAAGUCGUAACA